GACGAACGCUGGCGGCGUGCUUAACACAUGCAAGUCGAACGGAAAGGCCUCUUUCGGGGGGUACUCGAGUGGCGAACGGGUGAGUAACACGUGAGUAACCUGCCCUUGACUUUGGGAUAACUUCAGGAAACUGGGGCUAAUACCGGAUAGGAGCUCCUGCUGCAUGGUGGGGGUUGGAAAGUUUCGGCGGUUGGGGAUGGACUCGCGGCUUAUCAGCUUGUUGGUGGGGUAGUGGCUUACCAAGGCGUUGACGGGUAGCCGGCCUGAGAGGGUGACCGGCCACCUUGGGACUGAGAUACGGCCCAGACUCCUACGGGAGGCAGCAGUGGGGAAUAUUGCACAAUGGGUGGAAGCCUGAUGCAGCAACGCCGUGUGCGGGAUGACGGCCUUCGGGUUGUAAACCGCUUUCGCUCAUGACGAAGCUUUGUGUGACGGUAGUGGGUAAAGAAGCACCGGCUAACUACGUG
rnacentral:rRNA from 1 species